rnacentral:rRNA from 1 species
GAUGAACGCUAGCGGCAGGCCUAAUACAUGCAAGUCGAACGGGAUCCAGAUCAAAGCUUGCUUUGGUCUGGUGAGAGUGGCGCACGGGUGCGUAACGCGUGAGCAACCUACCCUUGUCAGGGGGAUAGCCCGGCGAAAGUCGGAUUAAUACCGCAUGACAUCAUUGAGAGGCAUCUUUCGAUGAUCAAAGAUUUAUCGGACAAGGAUGGGCUCGCGUGACAUUAGCUAGUUGGUAAGGUAACGGCUUACCAAGGCUGCGAUGUCUAGGGGCUCUGAGAGGAGAAUCCCCCAAACUGGUACCGAGACACGGACCAGACUCCUACGGGAGGCAGCAGUAAGGAAUAUUGAUCAAUGGACGGAAGUCUGAACCAGCCAUGCCGCGUGCAGGAGGACGGCCCUAUGGGUUGUAAACUGCUUUUAUACGGGAACAAACGUCGGUACGUGUACCGGUCUGAGUGUACCGUAAGAAUAAGGAUCGGCUAACUCCGUG